GGGGACGUGGCCUAGUCAACGAUAUGGCGUGUCCAUAUGAGUCACUCGUCGAUCCCGAGUUCGAAUCUCGGCGUCCCCACCA
rnacentral:tRNA from 1 species